UUACACUUUUAUCAGAUUUUUAGGUCAACCACCUGAUACCAUAAUACCAGCUAGAAAAUGUAGUAAUUUGAACAUGUUCGUGUGAACCUGCAACUAGUUAGCCUUAAUAUAUACCUACUAAGUACCAGUAUGAGUACUUGUUACUCCACACUUUCAAUGGUCGCAAAGAUCAAAACUGUGUCAAAUUCGUAAAAUUAGUAUAUCGGUGGCAAUAAAAAAAGGUAGAACAUUCCAUUUAGAAAAUUGAUUUCGCGCCGUCCAAGAAGAAUUGCAUAACUGUAACGUGGAAGAAGUAAAUUUGCACCUAUAUUCUAUAACGGAAGACUGUAUUGGACAUCUGUUAUUCUUUGAGAUAACUGCGAGAUGAAUAUCCUUUUUUAAACUAUAGGAUCUAUAGCAGCUUUCAUUUGGGUAUGGAGAACCCAAGUGGCGUUCAAGGCCAAGGAAACACAAUGUCCCUAAUCCGACGCCCC